AGAGUAAAAUACCUACCACGCCAAAUAAGAACAUCUGUAUUAAAAUUUUUUGUUGUAUUUUUAGUUCAUUUUUAAAAUUUUCUAUAUCAAAAAUUCAAUGAUUCCUCUAAUUGAUUUUACGUAAUAAAUAAUUUUUUUCAAUCCUUUUGCAAAAUUCAGGAAAAAAGAAAAAUAUUUGAAAUUCUUACUGGAGUCUCUGGUAUGGGAUCGCCUCCAAUUUGACUAAUUAUAUCCACUAGUGUGAUAAACAAAAAACUUCCAAAGAGCACGGUUAGAAGAGUUCCUUCCACUUGAUAAUAGGGAGAAUUUUUUGAAAUCGUAUAAAUUGUUAGCGUAAAUAAAAUGCUUACCAGCAGCUAUAUAAGGGAGAAAAUAUUUUUUCUAAAUCAUUAUUUUCGAAAAAUGAGAAUGUAAUUAUUGAUUUUUAUUUAAUUUUCAGUAAUUUGUGAAAUAUUUUUUAUUCAAUGGUUUUGCACUCACAAAUUGAAAUAUUCUUAUUGGUUUAGCCAUUGGCACUGUACAAGGUUCUUCGCAACUUUCGAUAAUUGGUGGAGCACAAUUAGAAUUAAAUCCACAAGUCGGUCUCAUCAUUUUGCUGAAUUUUUUGUAAUGUUCUUAGAAAAAAAAUCUAAGAGAGAAUUUUUAAAUUUGCAUAUAGUUUCAAAAUUUUUCGAGUUUGAAAAAUAAUCAAAAAAGUUAAUCCUAAUUUGACUGAAAUUUUUUUAACCUUUUAUAAUAAAAGUGAUAAUUUGACAGCUUUUUUUUGUUUACGAACCGGAAUUUUGAAUUUAGUAGCCAAAGAGAAAAAUAAGGACAACGUCAAGGAGAUGUAUUAGAGCGUUAAGAAAGCUUAUUAUUCCAAUUGCAAGAAGUAAACUGGAUGAAUUUUUCGGAGAUUUUGCAAAUGUCGCUGUACUUCCGCCACAUGCGAUUAAAAAUAAUAUCACUCCACACAAGCCAAAAACAAACAUCUGAAAUAUAAUAUUCGCAUUUAGAAUUUAAUUUUUUCCUUUGUGGAGAUUUUUGCAAUUUUUAUUGUUUAUUUACCGGUGUAUCCGGUAUGGGAUCAUUUCCAAAUUGACUGACUGCAUCGACAAUUUCAAUGACAAAAAAACUGAAGUUUAUAAUUCCCAGGAGGGUUAAAUUUCCAUAAUCAAGAAUUCGAUGCGAUGGAUGUGUCAAACCAAUCGUCAGUCCAAGCAAAACACUCGAAAAAAUCUGGUGAAUUCGUCUUACGAGUUGAAUAAUUCGUAUUGGUUUGACACGAAGAUGACUUUGAUUACUACAAGAUUUAACGAUACCACUUUCGCCAAAUGGAUCGAUUUCAAAAUUUUCUUCAAUGGAUUGACACUCCAUAUUGAAAACAAAAUCUUUCAAGGAAAAAACAAUUUGAUUUUCUUCAAACUACAGCACGGAGAAUUUCAAUUAAAUAAUAAGAGAAUAUUGCUAAAUUCGUGAUGGGCAGGAAAACAAUGGACAUUCAUCGUAAAAUUGUUUUAAUAAACGAAAACAAUUUCUUAUAAAUCAAUAUCAGGAAGAUACAUCUUCGUUUCUGAAGAUCUCAUUGAGAAACGUUUCUUUCCCCGUUUGGAAAUGAUUGCCAGGACAAUAAAAUAAAGGUUUUAAGCGCCCAGCAUCGUUUAUCAAGAUAGCAUAUUCAGAAACUACAAUCAACUUGGAUAACUAUCCACCUUUUGGGAACCACUGCUGGGUUAUGCUAAGGUCUUUUGUACGAGGAAUAACCGCUUCAUCCACAACUUGUUUACUACUUGGAAUUUACACGUAGCAUGACGUGAUCGAGGACACUCUCUUCCUCUCUAAAUCUCAUUAAUUUACACAAAAAUGAGAAUGUGAAAAUUCAAUUCUGCGAUGAAAAUUAAUUAUCAAAUAAAUUAAUUCUGUUCCGGAAUUUGAAGAAUCUUUGAUCCAAGAAAUUUCAAAUGUGAUGUCUGGAUUUAUAGAAUCAUCGGAGUGUGAGUAAUAUUUAAAUUCAUCGUAUCUGCAAAUUGGAGUAUUUUUUGACUGGAAUAUCUUUGAAAUAGAAUAUCUUCGAAUUGGAAUAUCUUCGGACUGAAUAAUAUUUAAAUUUGCAGUACAUAUUUAAACUGGAAUAUAUUUUAAUUGGAAUAUCUUUUGAAUUGAAUUAUCUUUGAUUUGAAAUAUAUAUGGAUUGGAAUAUUUAUAAACUGAAUACUAUUCACAUUCGUAUUAUCUUUGAACUGGAAUAUUUUUGAGUCUAAUAUUGAAAUGCGAAUUGUCUUUGAACUGGA